GACGAACCGAGCGAACGUUGUUCGGAAUCACUGGGCUUAAAGGGCGCGUAGGCGGGCUGUCAAGUCUGGGGUGAAAUCCCGCGGCUCAACCGUGGAACUGCCUCCGAUACUGACGGCCUCGAGGGAGGUAGGGGCGAGCGGAACGGGUGGUGGAGCGGUGAAAUGCGUUGAUAUCACUCGGAACUCCGGUGGCGAAAGCGGCUCGCUGGACCUCUUCUGACGCUGAGGCGCGAAAGCUAGGGGAGCAAACGGG
rnacentral:rRNA from 1 species